GACGAACGCUGGCGGCGUGCCUAAUACAUGCAAGUCGAGCGGAAUGUUGAAGAAGCUUGCUUCUUCUGAUUUUAGCGGCGGACGGGUGAGUAACACGUGGGCAACCUACCUUGUAGAUUGGGAUAACUCCGGGAAACCGGGGCUAAUACCGAAUAAUCCAUUUUGCUUCAUGGCGAGAUGUUGAAAGACGGUUUCGGCUGUCACUAUAAGAUGGGCCCGCGGCGCAUUAGCUAGUUGGUAGGGUAAUGGCCUACCAAGGCGACGAUGCGUAGCCGACCUGAGAGGGUGAUCGGCCACACUGGGACUGAGACACGGCCCAGACUCCUACGGGAGGCAGCAGUAGGGAAUCUUCCACAAUGGACGAAAGUCUGAUGGAGCAACGCCGCGUGAGUGAAGAAGGUUUUCGGAUCGUAAAACUCUGUUGUAAGGGAAGAACACGUACGAGAGUAACUGCUCGUACCUUGACGGUACCUUAUUAGAAAGCCACGGCUAACUACGUG
rnacentral:rRNA from 1 species